AACGUAGGAGACAAACGUUAUCCGGAGUUACUGGGCGUAAAGGGCGUGUAGGUGGUUGCGUAAGUCUGGCGUGAAAUAUCUCGGCUUAACCGAGGCAGGUCGUCGGAUACUGCGAGGCUAGAGGACGGUAGAGGCGUGUGGAAUUCCGGGUGUAGUGGUGAAAUGCGUAGAGAUCCGGAGGAACACCAGUGGCGAAGGCGGCCUACUGGGCUGCACCUGACGCUGAGCCGCGAAAGCCAGGGGAGCGAACGGG
rnacentral:rRNA from 1 species